ACACUCCAUCGACGGGAGAGGCGAGGACGCGGCGGGAGGGGCGUGGCCUGUGCCCGGAGCCCAGGCUGGAGGCGGCCUUUAGCCGACUCAGGGUCUCACGAGCUGCUGUGAGGGCAGGGCAGAGUAUUGCGAGAAGACUCCAGCCUGAUGUCUAUGGGACCUGAGUCCACACUGUGGAGGGCACAAGCUGUGGGAGGGCCUGGAAGACACGCC